GACGAACGUUUGCGGCGCGCUUAACACAUGCAAGUCGAACGGAAAGGCCCUGCUUUUGUGGGGUGCUCGAGUGGCGAACGGGUGAGUAACACGUGAGUAACCUGCCCUUGACUUUGGGAUAACUUCAGGAAACUGGGGCUAAUACCGGAUAGGAGCUCCUGCUGCAUGGUGGGGGUUGGAAAGUUUCGGCGGUUGGGGAUGGACUCGCGGCUUAUCAGCUUGUUGGUGGGGUAGUGGCUUACCAAGGCUUUGACGGGUAGCCGGCCUGAGAGGGUGACCGGCCACAUUGGGACUGAGAUACGGCCCAGACUCCUACGGGAGGCAGCAGUGGGGAAUAUUGCACAAUGGGCGGAAGCCUGAUGCAGCAACGCCGCGUGCGGGAUGACGGCCUUCGGGUUGUAAACCGCUUUCGCCUGUGACGAAGCGUGAGUGACGGUAAUGGGUAAAGAAGCACCGGCUAACUACGUGCCAGCAGCCGCGGUGAUACGUAGGGUGCGAGCGUUGUCCGGAUUUAUUGGGCGUAAAGGGCUCGUAGGUGGUUGAUCGCGUCGGAAGUGUAAUCUUGGGGCUUAACCCUGAGCGUGCUUUCGAUACGGGUUGACUUGAGGAAGGUAGGGGAGAAUGGAAUUCCUGGUGGAGCGGUGGAAUGCGCAGAUAUCAGGAGGAACACCAGUGGCGAAGGCGGUUCUCUGGGCCUUUCCUGACGCUGAGGAGCGAAAGCGUGGGGAGCGAACAGGCUUAGAUACCCUGGUAGUCCACGCUGUAAACGGUGGGUACUAGGUGUGGGGUCCAUUCCACGGGUUCCGUGCCGUAGCUAACGCUUUAAGUACCCCGCCUGGGGAGUACGGCCGCAAGGCUAAAACUCAAAGGAAUUGACGGGGCCCCGCACAAGCGGCGGAGCAUGCGGAUUAAUUCGAUGCAACGCGUAGAACCUUACCUGGGUUUGACAUGGAUCGGGAGUGCUCAGAGAUGGGUGUGCCUCUUUUGGGGUCGGUUCACAGGUGGUGCAUGCCUGUCGUCAGCUCGUGUCGUGAGAUGUUGGGUUAAGUCCCGCAACGAGCGCAACCCUUGUUCACUGUUGCCAGCACGUUAUGGUGGGGACUCAGUGGAGACCGCCGGGGUCAACUCGGAGGAAGGUGGGGAUGACGUCAAGUCCUCAUGCCCCUUAUGUCCAGGGCUUCACGCAUGCUACAAUGGCUGGUACAGAGAGUGGCGAGCCUGUGAGGGUGAGCGAAUCUCGGAAAGCCGGUCUCAGUUCGGAUUGGGGUCUGCAACUCGACCUCAUGAAGUCGGAGUCGCUAGUAAUCGCAAAUCAGUUCCGCUGCGGUGGAUCCGUUCCCCGGG
rnacentral:rRNA from 1 species